UACAGAGGUCUCAAGCGUUGUUCGGAUUCAUUGGGCGUAAAGGGUGCGUAGACGGCGCGGUAAGUCGGGUGUGAAAUCUUGGAGCUUAACUCCGAAACUGCAUUCGGAUACUGGCGUGCUUGAGGACUGGAGAGGAGACUGGAAAUUUCAUGGUGUAGCAGUGAAAAUGCGUAGAGAUCAUGAGGAAGACCAGUGGCGAAGGCGGGUCUCUGGACAGUUCCUGACACUGAGACACGAAGGCCAGGGGAGCAAAACGGGG
rnacentral:rRNA from 1 species